GUACUCACACACUUGCAACUUUUUGUGUAUGAACACAAAAGUCGAAUGAGAAUCGUGGUGAAAAAGUGCGAAAAGGAAAACACCAUAAAAUAGAGACAAGUGCAACCCCAUUUUGCAAAUUUGUUUAAACGUCAAAAUUAAUUAAACAAUAAAAAAAAAGUAAGCGAGUGGAGGAAGCGAAAGGCGAGUGCUGAUCAUUUUAGAACUAACUGUUUUGAACCAUGGAGCAGAAGUUGGUAAAAAAUUGGUAAUCCUGUACAAUUUACUGAUGAAGCAACAAUUGCCAAUAAACACGCAGCAGAAACUGCUGCUCCACCAAAAUUGGCCAGUGAAUCAACAUACCCAUCGAAAACAACCAAUGGCCAUUUAUAUAACUCUUCGUCAAACAACAACUAUAAUAGCACUUCAAUGAAUCAAUCGAUGAAUGCUUCCUUCCAUGACUGCUCCCAUAGCGAGUUUAACUCCAUAUCAAAGCACGUAUUACAUCCAAGUCAGGCAUACGCACUUGGAGUAAUGCUAAAGGAGAAGGCAAACUCUUUAAUAUGGAUCUGCUAGACGAAUCUGGUGAAAUUCGUGCUACAGCAUUUAAGGAGCAAUGCGACCGAUAUUACGAUUGAAGUCCACAAAGUUUAUUUUUUCUCAAAGUGCCAGCUGAAACCAGCAAAUAAGCAAUAUUCUUCUCUUAAAAAUGAUUACGAGAUGACAUUUACAGGCGAGACACUAGUUCAGCCUUGUGAAGAAGAAGAUUAUGGCAUUCCACAAGUUCAAUAUAAUUUAGUGCCAAUUUCACAAAUUGCAAAUAUUGAACCUAAAGCUGCUGUUGGUAAGAAUUUUAGAAAUAUUUAUUUUGUUGAGAGGAAAUAAAAUCUUUUUCACAUUGCUGCACAUUAAUGAAAAUGAAAAGAUGUGCUGUUCGUUGCAAAGGCAGAGUAUAAAUGGCCGCAGUAGAAAUCCCAGAUUCGUUGUUGGUCACGGGUCGAGGCUGUUUUAUGCAAGCUCAAGUAGUUCGUGCUUAAAAAGAUUUGCGUUCUGAAUCGAAUGCCAAAGAGAUAUCCGACGGUUUGACAUUUUUAGAAUAUGAACUUCAUAGAGUGCUCAUUAAUAAAUUAAAAGCCAAAGGUAUGAAUGCCAUAUUCGGUCUGAAAGCUCAAGUGUCAAUUGGUGAGCGAAUGAUUGCGCUCAUAGCAACUGGAACAGCAAGACUUUGCCAGACUAUAUUUUUCAAAUUACGCAGUAUGAUGCCGUGUGCAAUAUGUGAUCUAAGAUUUCUUUUAGAUCUUCCAGAAAGUGAUGAAAUCCAACUUCUGAUAACAGGAAUGGCAUUGGGACUUAGAGAAGUAAAUAAAUUUAAAAAUCGACGAAAAACCAUUAAUAAUGAUGGAGCAGUUAAUGUGAAUGGAUCAAUUAAAAAGUCACAUGAUAAGGAAUUGAUAUUUCCUCUAGAUGAAGAUCAAGCUGUGGAAACAACUACUCCAGUUCCAAGUACAAACGUUCCAUCUUCGUUAUAUGGAAAUUAUUCAUUAAAGUAUCGGAAAGGUUCACCAUCGUCCGUUAAGAUGAAUGCUUCGAGAAGCAUGUGAGUAUUAAAGAAUUUUUAAGUCAGUGAAAACAGAAUGGUAUUUAAGUUUAGUUUUCUAUGGCAGAUACUGAAGUUCUUCUUAAAUUUUCACUUCCUUCCAAUAUUUUACAGAGCAUUUUUUGUGGUAGGCGUGGUCUUGUUGAGAAAUUCAAAAUACUGGUUAACAAAUACUAGAGAAUUAAGGAAAAGUUUCUUGAAUAUGUAUUUACAAAUAAUUGUGACCAUUCUUCAAGUUUGAAAUUAAUUACACUGGUCGGCAAAAAAACAAAAAAAGUCGGGAGCAAGAACUCUGUAAGGUAUAAUAAACUUGAGUGUGCUGAACUCAAAACAGUUAACAGAUUUUUUCCAUCACGUCUAGUUUUUGAGCUCUGCUCAUCACAAUUUUAGCUAUAAAGUCCCAAAAAUUAAUUUUAAAUGAAAUGUUUUUUUGACAUUUGAUUUAAAAAUAUUAUUUUUCCGUAAUAUUUUGCUAUUUUUUCAACCGAAUCAGGAGUCGAAAACUGAAAUUUACUUCAAAUCUGCUUCAAAAACCAUAAGUUACCUUAACCACCAAGAUUUUGAGAUAUCAUACCUUUCUAUACCAAAUUUCUUUUAGAAAAAAAUAAUUUUGAAAAUAAAAUUAAACGUAUUUAAGACGAUUAAAUAUGGCUUUUGAAUAUUGCACAUGUAGUUUUGCAAAAAAAAAUUUAACGGUGAUGAAAUUCAACGCCAAAAGUACCACAAAAACGCGUUUUUGACCUGUUAAUAUUUAAAUAUUUCGAAAACUUGACGUGCCAGUGAAAUUUUGACUUCAGAUUCGGAAUCAGCACACAAAAGUUCUAUAAAAAAGUAUGGUUUGGUUCAAAAUCCAUUUUCGUUGUCGACCAGUGUUAUUAGUAUUAUCGUAUCGUAGGAGAUUACUUUCUUCCAUGCCUUAAAACUUCUUUGUUUUAAAUCAAGUUGGUCUCAAAAUCGUUUCUCCUUCGCGAAAUAUUAAACUGAUAGUUUAACUCACCAAGGACAUCAAAAUUAAAUGUUAAUUAAUCCAAAAAUAGCAAGAAAUACCACUCAGCUUUUCAUGUGGUUAGGGAUUUCAAAAACCUUAAAAGAAUACAAUUCUGUUCUUGGUUUAGUGAUGGUGUCUUUUCAAAAUUCAGCCAUUUUAGAAGAUUGGGACUUAUGAACAUUCUAUGUACUGUCCUAAAAUUAUAAAUAACAACUGUUCUCACUUUUAUUCUUGUCUUUAAUCCCCCAAAACUGGUAGCACAUGUAAAAAUUAACUCGCCUAAGAGUGUUUUUUGCAUUUUUUGUUCCACCAUUAAUUUUUUUUUACCCCCAGAAUGUUUGUAUCUGAAGUCUGGAUAGAGCACAUUCACAAUUCGUAAUUUUUUUUAACCAUACCAGUACUGGUGGAUCCUUCAGUGUUUGUUUUAUUUCUUAAGUUGUUUUAAUAGGUGCGUUGCUAUUAUUUUAAUUGGUAAAUAAGACAAAAUCUCUAAUUAAAUGUUGUUUUGAUUUAAAACAAUACCUGGGAUCCUAUUCCGCAAGAGUGUACACAGAAAAACGUGUAAAUUGCCUUAGAAACAAGGCAGAGAAAAAAUCACACUCGCGGAAUUGGGCACCUGGACAUCAAAUUUUCCACCUCCAUGAUUUGGACCCAUACACAAAUAGUUUCAAUUUAAUUGCUUCUCUUCUAGCCAUUGUGUUCUGUGGUCAUCCGAGUUUGAGAUUUGGCGAUGCGGUCCAUUUUAUUGAAAUGUGGGGUUCAAAUCCGAAUAAUUCAAUCAAUUUACAGAACCUGACUUCCCAUAUCUUCAAGUGCUGGUUCCUUUCCAACCCUUGUCCAUGAAGGCAUUCUAUUGUCCCAUCGAUACGUCACUGAACUAUCAACAAGCAAACAAGCUGAUUAAGGAACCAAAACCUAGUGUCUUGGUUAUUCCUGAAAACUAUAAAAAACCGCAUCCAAUUGCUCCACAACUUUAUAUUGAACAACCGGACAAGAAAAUCAUCACUUUCAAAUGUGGCGAAACCAUUCGAUUGCCACUCAAACGAAAAAUGGAUCGAGUCUAUCUUAAAUCUGAAUUAGCAUCAAAAUUGUUCCUCGUGAAACAACUCCCGGUGUGACAAUAUCCACAUUAACUGGAAUUCUUGAAGUCAAAGAUAAAGUACAUAAUAUUGCUCCAUGUGAUGAUGAAUCGGAUAGUAAAGCAAAUACAAGUGCUGGCACAACUCUACAUCCACCACUCUACAGAAGUUCUAAAGAAAGUUAAAUAUGAAUAUGGAGGAGUCGAUAUAGAUUCCAUAUUGGCGCAAGAUGGAAUAAUAGAUAUUAAAACAGAACGAAUUGGAGGUGUAUUAACGAUAAGCAUACCAAGUGAAGAUACGAUAAUUAAAAUUGAUGAAAACUCAACGCAUAUUGUGUGUGGGAGUAAGCAGUCGUUGAGACUGAAAUUGAGAGAUUCCCUAAUGAAAUGUGUGCAGCAGCAAUCUGCACAUUCUCAAAAACCACCCGGCCGAGUGCACCACAUGCAAACCCAAUUUACAUUGGGAAAAAAACCAACCCCUUUACCCGAAGGUACACCAAUGCAUCCGGAUGUGAUGCGAAUGACUGGGAAUCGACAGCAGAAUAACGAAUCAGCAGGAGAUAUCAAAAAAGGAAGGAAUCAACAAAGGAGGGAAUACUAUACAUCCAAAACACAAACAACAGCAGCAACAACAAAUAAAAAGAUUUAUUUUAUUUAAUAUUUAUUUUAAAAUUGUAUUUAUUGUAAUUUUUUGAUCUAAAAAACAUUAAAAUAAAAAAAAAAAAAACAAUUUCAGUGAAAAAAAAUUAA